AGCUAAGCUAAGGAUUUUGUUGCUUUCAACUCAGUCGUGAUCCUGAGCUAUGAUCAAAUUCCGCGCCAUCACCUACCUUCCAGCGGAAAAUUGUGUUUGAGGAUUAGAAGUUGAACGUACAGUAAAGUCAAGAAAUUUGACAGGAGGGUCCAUUAUUAAUCGAAAAUUCCGACUUCAUAGCGCAGGCGCAGCCCCCUACGUCGACGAUCGUUGUGCUCUGAACGGGAAAAACGAGCAUGUGAUGUCGUCUGUUCGGAGGACUGGUUAAUGAAGAUAAAAUCACUAUCACAUUAGGUAUAUGUGAACUCUUCAAUUCCCCAAUUUUUUUAAUUUUCCCAUGGUUCAUUUAUCCAUCAGGUCAAAUCUCGUGAUUUUUACGGAUAUUUACAGAAAAUAAUCUCCUUGCAAUUUCGUUUUCUAAGUAUUUAAAUAACCUGGAUUUUCCAAUAAUACGUGAUGAAAUUGUACAUUUUUCAAUUAUGCCAUGUAUAUUUUCGUUUUUCGUGAUUUUCCGUUCCGGAGAUAUUUUGCGUUGAUUUCCAUGAUUUUGACAGCUGCUAGCUAACCAGUAGAAAAUUGAGCUUUCUUUAAACUUUGAAAUAUGAAGUAAGAAUAAGCGCACAAUGAAGGUUAGACCGCGGCGUGACCCUUAAUUUAUACGUGUCGCGUCACAUCUUAGAUAUCGAGCACUCAAGUGCCUAAUUAUUUCAAGUGACCGCCGAACCACUUGAAGAUUAUCAUUUAGGUACAUUAGACCGUUCUAUAUGAAUAGUUCGCGGUGAGAGGUAACCCAGCAGGUAGGAGGGCCACUUCAUUCACGUUAAAAUAAAUAUCCGAAUCUCACCAAAUUAUCAGACAACAGUCUACCGACCUUGAAGUGCACCCCCCCCCCCCCCUAAAUAAAAAUUUGGGACUUUACUUAACUACUACUCCUACUUCAUAAAUUUCCUAUUAUGCGUGCGAGUCAAGAUAACGUGUACUUCAAAUCGUUCUUGAACUUCUAGUGAAUUCAUCCAUCGUGAUGGAGAGCCCCACUGCCCCCCCCCCCCCUCCACUCUUGUGACACAUUUUUUUUAAACGUCGAUACAUUUAGAAAAAUUUCCAGCUAACAAUUCUUGACGAGUAUUUUUGUUGAUUCAACCAGAAAUCUCUCAAAAUUGACGAGACGUCUCUUUGGAAUAAAAUAAAUGCUUAUCGUUUGAAACACGAAGAUUUCCUGCGAUAAAUCAACGAGAAUUCUUGUCCGGUGAUUAUUAACUGGAAUAUUUAUCGAUCCAACAGAAAGUUUGUCUCUUUGUAUAGUUCUCCGAGUCACGCAUGGAGUCGUGUAUUUCACUCCUGUUUGGAUUCGUUUAUCUUGGCCCUUGAUCGUGUGAACUAUUCUUUCUUUCAGUUUUACUACCCUAAAAAGCAUUGGCUGUUAAAAAAAAAAAAAAAAAAAAAAAAAAAAAAAAAAACUAAACAACUUGUAAAUUUCAAAGCGGAGGAUUUUUUAAAGAAACCGUUCAAAUAUCCUGGUUAGAAACCCUCGCAGUUGCUCUUUACGUAAAAAUGUAAAUUUUCAUUUUAGCAAAUUGUAACAUAAAUUUUCAAAAUAUCUUUCGUACAGAAAAUUGAAGUUUUUAUGCUGCAUAUUUUGCAAUUUACUUUGUGUUUAGCAUCAAUAUGUGUAAUUUUUAGAAUUUAAAAAGAUUUUAAUAUCCGUUUUUUCCGUACAUCUUUUUUAACACAAAUUUCACGUGAAUCUAAAUUUGAAAAGAACAAAAAUGGUUUCCUGUGUUUCACAUUUUAAUAAUUUUAGUAUACGUUUUUUGAGUCUGGAUUCGACAGUCAAUGCUAGAAAGGCUUUUUCAUUCCAAGUAAAAAGUCCAUUUAUAACAAUUGGAGCCGGGUCCUUACGGGUGAGAACUGGCUCCAUAGGAUCCGCCGAUGUCGUGUGUUCCUUGAUGAUGAGGGACUUCACUCGUCCUGUGGCCUAUACCGAGAGCAUGUUCGCGAGGAUUCGUGGACCUACAGAGCUGGCUUCCACGGAGGCGUUUGGCAGAUAAAUCGGUUCAAUUACACCCACACCGACGACGGCCCCUAUCAAGGCAGCAAUCCAAAGCUUAGGAGCAUCCACGAGCCGAUCAAGAAGAGCAUGGGUAUCGAUUGGAUGCAGAGAAAAACAUGAAAAUGUGAAAGCUAGAUUUUCAACGUUGAGUUUUGCAAAAAUAAAUAUAGCCUCAGUGAUCCAUUAGCAGCAUACUUUUUCUUAGUAGAUUUGGACGAUUUAUUUCCGGAAGACAUCAUACAACCAUUACAGAACUUGAGAAAAUUAGAAAAAUGACAUAUUACGUUGUCAUUUGUUUGUAUACUAUAAAGUUUAGCUAUGUUGUUUUUUAUUUCUGUGUUUGAAUUAAAAUUAUUGACGGGAUAAAGUAUCAUGAGAUUCUGUGCGAA